rnacentral:SRP_RNA from 1 species
UGUCCUUUUUUAUUAUUAUUUUAAAUAACAAAAAAAUUCUUUAGUGGGGUGGAUCGCAUGAGGCUGGCUUCACAGAGCAGUGAACAGCUCCCGCUCUGUGCAGUGGAAGGAUAACG